UGCAAGUCGAGCGGAAUUCUUUUGUAGCAAUACAAAAGUAGUUCAGCGGCGCNNNUUNGUGCGUAACACGUGGGCAAUCUGCCGAGAUGUGGGGGAUAGCUCGCCGAAAGGCGAAUUAAUACCGCAUGUGACCAAGGUUGACAUCAACCUGACGUCAAAGCCGGGGCAACCUGGCGCAUCUUGAGGAGCCCGCGGCCUAUCAGCUAGUUGGCGAGGUAAUGGCUCACCAAGGCAUUGACGGGUAGCUGGUCUAAGAGGACGACCAGUCACACUGGAACUGAGACACGGUCCAGACACCUACGGGUGGCAGCAGUCGAGAAUUUUUCUCAAUGGGGGAAACCCUGAAGGAGCGACGCCGCGUGGAGGAUGAAGGUCUUCGGAUCGUAAACUCCUGUCAUUUGAGAACAAGGGGUUCGUGAGUCACUGCACGGGCCUUGAUAGUAUCAGAAGAGGAAGAGACGGCUAACUCUGUGCCAGCAGCCGCGGUAAUACAGAGGUCUCAAGCGUUGUUCGGAUUCAUUGGGCGUAAAGGGUGCGUAGGCGGCGGCGUUAGUCGGGUGUGAAAUCCCAGGGCUCAACCCUGGAACUGCAUUCGAUACUGCGUCGCUUCGAGGACUGGAGAGGAGACUGGAAUUCACGGUGUAGCAGUGAAAUGCGUANAUAUCGUGAGGAAGACCAGUGGCGAANGCGAGUCUCUGGACAGUUCCUGACGCUGAAGCACGAAGGCCAGGGGAGCAAACGGGAUUAGAUACCCCGGUAGUCCUGGCAGUAAACGGUGCGCGUUUGGUA
rnacentral:rRNA from 1 species